GUAACACAGGUGCUGCAUGGCUGUCGUCAGCUCGUGUCGUGAGAUGUUGGGUUAAGUCCCGCAACGAGCGCAACCCUUGUCAUUAGUUGCCAUCAUUAAGUUGGGCACUCUAAUGAGACUGCCGGUGACAAGCCGGAGGAAGGUGGGGAUGACGUCAAGUCCUCAUGGCCCUUAUGACCAGGGCUUCACACGUCAUACAAUGGUCGGUACAGAGGGUAGCCAAGCCGCGAGGUGGAGCCAAUCUCACAAAACCGAUCGUAGUCCGGAUUGCACUCUGCAACUCGAGUGCAUGAAGUCGGAAUCGCUAGUAAUCGCAGGUCAGCAUACUGCGGUGAAUACGUUCCCGGGUCUUGUACACACCGCCCGUCACACCAUGGGAGUGGGGGAUACCAGAAGUAGGUAGGGUAACCGCAAGGAGCCCGCU
rnacentral:rRNA from 1 species